rnacentral:rRNA from 1 species
ACGAACGCUGGCGGCGUGCUUAACACAUGCCAGUCGAACGGAAAGGCCCUGCUUUUGUGGGGUGCUCGAGUGGCGAACGGGUGAGUAACACGUGAGUAACCUGCCCUUGACUUUGGGAUAACUUCAGGAAACUGGGGCUAAUACCGGAUAGGAGCUCCUGCUGCAUGGUGGGGGUUGGAAAGUUUCGGCGGUUGGGGAUGGACUCGCGGCUUAUCAGCUUGUUGGUGGGGUAGUGACUUACCAAGGCUUUGACGGGUAGCCGGCCUGAGAGGGUGACCGGCCACAUUGGGACUGAGAUACGGCCCAGACUCCUACGGGAGGCAGCAGUGGGGAAUAUUGCACAAUGGGCGGAAGCCUGAUGCAGCAACGCCGCGUGCGGGAUGACGGCCUUCGGGUUGUAAACCGCUUUCGCCUGUGACGAAGCGUGAGUGACGGUAAUGGGUAAAGAAGCACCGGCUAACUACGUG